GUCUAUGUUUAAGCGGCUUUGUUUGUAAAAAGUUCAAAGUGUUCUUAAUUUAUUGGAAAUAUGGAUUAUUGAUAGUUGAAGUUACAGCAGAGAGAGAGAGAGAGUUUGACAGUAUGCGUGUUUGAAGAAGAUAAUGCUUUUAUUGGUACUGUACAUUCAAUUCCACAAACUGAGUGUUGAUUUCCUCGAUUUCAUUGACUCGAUGAUUCAUUCUUUGAUUUCUAAUGAUCAAUCAACUUAUUGAUUUACUGAUUGAUUGGACAUGUCAUGGAGCUUAAUAUAGAUGGAGAAGUAACUUAGACGUCAUACAGUUAAAUUCAGUAUUAUUAGGGUUGUUCUAGUGCAAGUUAUCAUGUGUUUUCGGGAUUUUCCAAGAUUUGAUACAUCCUGGGUAAUAGUAGCCAAAAUACCGCCAUAUUCAAUUCCAAGAGGAACAUUGACAAAAAAAGACGAAGCAUUUUCUACUUACAUAAGAAGCAAUAGUUAUUUAUGUUAAAACGUACCAUACACACUUUUCCACACAGAUAUUUUUUUUACUUGAAAAAUAUUAUUUUUUACUAUGACUUUUUUAGUUUCAAAGGCAUCUACCUCUUACUUCAAAUACAUAUUCCUUAUCAUCAAUUACAUCUUAUGUGACUAGGUUCAUAAUUUACUCUUAAAGCAAUAUUUCCAGGUUAAUAUCCCUUUGAACUUUUUUUUAAAGAAAUAUUAUAAGUAAUUUAAUUUACUUUUUAGCUCACCUGAGCAAUGCUCAGGGUGAGCUAUUGUGAUGGCCCUGUGUCCGUCGUCGUGCAUCGUCAACUUUUAACAUAAACAACAUCUCCUCUGAAACCAAUGACUGCACAUCGACCAAACUUUACAGAAAUGAUCCUUGGGUGGGCCCCUUUCAAAGUUGUUCAAAUGGUUCCGGUCUGUUGCAUAUGUAGGUCAUAGGGCCAGAAAAGGAUUUCAAAAAACACAAAAUUAAAAAAUCUUCUUGUCUGAAAGUACAUGGGCCAGAGCUUUGAUUUUUUGUAUAUGGUAUCAUUAUGGGUCAUCUACCAAAGUUGUUCAAAUUUUGUCCCUAGUGUCAAAAUUGGCCCCGCCCUGGGGGGUCAUAGGUUUUUCCUUAUAAGUAUAUAGUAAAAUCUAAAAAAAUCUUCUUCUCUGAUUUGGCAAAGGCUACAGAUUAGAUAUUUGGCAUGAAACAUUGUGUAGUAGACCUCUAUCAAGAUUGUUCAAAUAAUGGCCGGGGGGUCAUUGAUUCUCAUUACAUACAUAUAGUGAAAACUUGAAAAAUCUUCUGGUCUGAAAGUAAAUGGCCUAGAGCUUUGAUAUUUGGUCAAUGGUAUCACCUAUAGGUCCAAAACCAAACUUGUUCUAAUUUUGUUCCUAGAAUUAAAAUCGGCCCCGCCCUGGGGGGUCAUUGAUUUUCUCUAUAUGUAUAUAGUGAAAACUUAAAAAAUAUUCUUUUAAAGAACCCAAAGAGCUAGAGCUUAGAUAUUUGGCAUGAAACAUCUUCUAAUGGUUGUCUACCAAGUUUGUUCAAAUAAAAGCCCUGUGGUCAAAAUUGGCCCCGCCCCAGGGGGUCAUUGAUUUUCCCUAUAUGCACAUAGUAAAAACUUAAAAAAUAUUCUUUUAAAGAAUGUAAAGAGCUAGAGCUAAGAUAUUUAGCAUGAAAUAUGUUCUAAUGGAUGUCUACCAAGUUCGUUCAAAUAAGAGCCCAGAGGUCAAAAUUGGCCCCGCCCUGGGGGUCAUUCAUUUUCCUUUUAUGCAUAUAACAAAAACUUAAAAGAUCUUUUUUGAUGAAAAAAUCAAAUAGCUAGAGUUUAGAUACUAAGCAUGAAACAUCUUCUAGAGAGUGUCUUCAGAGUUUGUUCAAAUAAAAGCCCUGGGGUCAAAAUUGCCCCGCCCCGGGGGUCAUUCAUUUUCCUUAUACGUGUAUAGCAAAUACUUAAAAAUUUUCUUCGAAAAAACCUGAAUAGCUAGAGUUCUGAUAUUAAGCAUGAAACAUUGUCUAGUAAGUGCCUACAAAGAUUGUUCAAAUAAAAGCCGUGGGAUCAAAACUGGUCCUGCCCCAGGUGUGUCAUUGUUUUUAACUAUAUGUGUAAAGAAAAAAACUUGAAAAAAUCUUCUUUUAAAAAACCCAACUAGCUAGACCUUAGAUGUUUAGCAUGAAACAUCUUCUAAUGGGUGUCAACCAAGAUUGUUCAAAUAAAAGCCCUGGGGUUUAAACUGGCCCCGCUCCAAGGGGCCAAUAUACAGGUGAGCGACUUCGGGGCCAUCAUGACCCUCUUGUUUAUAUUUCUUAUCAUUACACAUAUGUUGUGUGACAAGCAUGACUAUUUCCAGAAUUACCCCCCCACCCCACCCACCUUGAACUUAUUCAUGGAAUUUAUGUAAACAAACGUUCUUAGUUUCAUAGUUUUGUCUUCCAUACCAACUUAUCUCAGCCUCUUGCUAUUUGGUAUACAGUAUUGACGUGGUCCCAUACCGUCGGAUUUGAUUUCAUGUCUGUCGCUCGCCAAGCCCCAUUUACCGUUAAAUUUUCAACAUUAAUGGUCAAUGGUAGGAAAUUUUUGUGACAGAUUUUUUAGCAACUACUUAUCACAGGCUCUUGAUAUUUGACAAACAGCAUUGACACAUUGUCUUAUACUGUGGGAUUCGAUUUCAAGUCUUUCAUUCAUCCACUUCCUGUUAACUGUCUUAUUUAAAUUUUCCACAUUAAUGGUCAGUGGUAAAUAUUUUUCAAAACAUUACAGCAUCAUGAUAUUUGGUAUAGAAAUGCAACCCGACCUUUUCUGUCUUUGACCCAUUUUUUUUUUUUUUUUAAAUUUUGAAAUCAUUCAUUUAUUAUUGUUGAAAUCUACUUAUAAUACCUUUAAAAUACCAUGUUCCCAGUACUUUUUAUGUACAUGCUUAAGUUGUUCUAAACAUACACAAAACAAACUUGUACAUUCCUUUAUUAGAAAUUGUCUUUUUGUGUCGCCUUGAAAAAGGCGACAUACAGGGGUUACUUUU